UACUAAAAACCCAUACUAUUGUAUCAAUCUGUUCAAAAAUUUCUAUAAGUUUUUUGGUUUUUUGCCCUGUAUCCUCUUCAUCUUUUGGUUUGAUGCUUCAAAAAAGAAUCUCCCCCUUCAGUGGUUUAGUUUUGGAAAUGUUCUCCAGUACUAGAAGAGUGAACAUCUCGAGCUACAGGAAUUAAAUAAGAGUUGAACUCUAUUGGUUUGCAUUAUACUAGUAUUAUAACUAUAAGAGCACAACUUUCCUCUGAUCGCCGGUUAAAAAUUAUUUCCUUUGUUGUCAUCUAUCUAUCUGAAGCUGUAUUUUGCUGUAAUUCUUGCUUAAAGUACUAUGCUUUUAGUUGAAUGACAUCUAAGAAUAGUUUAGACAUUUUUUACUUGGACAGAGAUAUAGGAGGAUAAAAAUAUGGAUCCCUUUUUUUCCUUGGCCUCUUCUUUGUCAAAGUUUUGAGCUUUGAUGUCAUCACGAUUUUGAUUAAAGAAGCUUGAUGACAGGAAAAACUACGGAUUUGGGUACCUUUUUAGUUCUCAAACUAUUUACUUUGGGAUUACUUGAUUAAGUGGAAGUAUAAUUGUUAGGUUAUUAGUCUGCCGAUACUCUGAGCAUCUUUAGAUUGAUUUUUCUUCUUAUUAUCCUUCCUCUUCAUCCUGACACCCAUUCGGAAGGUAUUCUUGAAUCUUUGGUGCUACAACUGUGAUAUAGCUUCAGUUCCUACUAUUAUUACUGGUGGUUGCAUAUUGCAGCUACACCUGAUCAGCCCAAAGCCGUUAUACAUCCGCCUUUCCGUUUGGCUAUGACUAGUUGAAGCUUCUGUUUUGAGAAACUUUAUGAUAAAGCACUGUCUUUAGUUUUCAGAGUACCUUCCAAAGUAGUCUUGUUUCGUGUAGGGAAAGAGGCUCAAUGCGCUUAUCACCUUUAUUGGAAUAAUUCUGUGCAUGGCUUGAGAAGCAUCUAGUUGAGGAUUACUAGGAAAAAUGGCCUUUGGAUUUUUCCUGCCUCGUAACGAAAAAGAAAAGAUUGAGCAACAUCCCUAAUAAGUUGAUUUGUAUGUGAUAAUGGUCUUGCCCAAGUUGUCAUCUGUCCUUCCCAACACAAGUAGUAGUUUGUGGCAGGUUGUUUGUUACUGCCGUUUCUGAUGCCUUGUCCUUCAUCCUACAUAGGAUAGACUGUGGUCAUAUUUUUUCUUCUUUUGGCUUAGAAGAGUGCCUAGACCUCCGCUAUUGAUGUUAAAGUUGCCCUUUACUUGUAUUUUAUCUGUGGAAUCAGAUUCAGAUAUUUUUUUGGGAACUCUGUGCUUCAACUUAUACUGUGUUUUUUUCUUUUAAUUUGUAUGGUUUAUGGCUUAUUCGAGUAUGGUUUUGAUUCUCAUCCUUUUGUCUAAUAUCAUUCACAACUAAAAGAUGGGAUUCUUAGUUUCUACUCUCUUUUCUUCUUGGACAGUUAAUAGGAGGCUUGAUGAAUGGGUGAAACUGGAGCAACUUGAUCUUGAUUCAGUUGAGACCGUUGUGGCUGAAAAAGUGGAGGACAAGGUAACAAGCUUGAAAACGACUCGUCAUAAAAAAACGCAAGAUUGAUGAGACACACGUGGAGGGGCAUGACGAGCUUGACGCUGCCAGCUCGCGUGAACACGAAGGAUUCACAAAGGUGAAGAAUAUUGCCACAAUAGAGCUCGGAAGAUAUGAGAUUGAGACAUGGUACUUCUCCCCCAUUCCCCCAGAAUACAAUGACUGUGUGAAGCUCUACUUUUGUGAAUUUUGCCUCAAUUUCAUGAAGCGCAAACAACAGCUUCAGAGGCAUAUGAGGAAAUGCGAUAUCAAGCAUCCUCCUGGUGAUGAGAUAUAUUGAUGUGGUACCUUGUCAAUGUUUGAGUUAAGGUUUAAGUUGGGAACAUUUGAAACAGGUUGAUGGGAAGAAGAACAAAGUUUAUGGACAGAACCUAUGCUACCUUGCUAAACUAUUUCUUGAUCACAAGACCCUUUAGUAUGAUGUGGACUUGUUUCUGUUCUAUGUGCUGUGUGAAUGUGAUGAUCGUGGUUGCCACAUGGUUGGCUAUUUUUCGAAGGAAAAGCAUUCUGAGGAGUCCUACAAUUUGGCAUGCAUUCUGACUCUUCCUCCUUAUCAGAGGAAAGGCUAUGGGAAAUUUUUAAUUGCUUUUUCAUAUGAACUUUCAAAAAAUGAAGGCAAGGUUGGUACACCAGAAAGACCUCUUUCUGACCUUGGACUUUUGAGCUAUGGGGAUACUGGACUCGUGUUCUGUUAGACAUAUUGAAGAAGCACAAGGGCAACAUCUCUAUCAAGGAGCUCAGUGACGUGACAGCCAUCAAGGCUGAGGAUGUCUUGACUACACUUCAAAACAUUAGAGUUGAUCCGAUACAGAAAAGGGCAGCAUGUCAUCUGUAAGCAGCUGGUCGGGGCGGUCUAGAUGUUGAUGUUAGUAAAUUGAUAUGGACUCCGUAUAAAGAGCAGAACUAAGUACUUUGGUUAUCAAAGUUUUCUGUGGCUUGUUAACCCUUGUGUACAUGUGUAGGAUAGUUAAAGUUGGAAAGCCAGGUGACUUUCUCUGCUAAAUACUUCCGGCGAAGGAUUUUAGUGGCCUGGGUGGAUAGAUAUGUUGACACAUUGCUAUUAACUGGUUGUAACAUAGGAACAUGUAAAAUGUAGCAUCUACUUUUACUGCCAAGAAACUAGAGCCUGCCUUUAUUAUGAAAUCUGUUCGAUCAGAGUCUAAAUUGCCUUGC